CUGAUGGAGCACGCCGCGUGUGUGAUGAAGGCUUUCGGGUCGUAAAGCACUGUUGUAUGGGAAGAACAGCUAGAAUAGGAAAUGAUUUUAGUUUGACGGUACCAUACCAGAAAGGGACGGCUAAAUACGUGCCAGCAGCCGCGGUAAUACGUAUGUCCCGAGCGUUAUCCGGAUUUAUUGGGCGUAAAGCGAGCGCAGACGGUUUAUUAAGUCUGAUGUGAAAGCCCGGAGCUCAACUCCGGAAUGGCAUUGGAAACUGGUUAACUUGAGUGCAGUAGAGGUAAGUGGAACUCCAUGUGUAGCGGUGGAAUGCGUAGAUAUAUGGAAGAACACCAGUGGCGAAGGCGGCUUACUGGACUGCAACUGACGUUGAGGCUCGAAAGUGUGGGUAGCAAACAGGAUUAGAUACCCUGGUAGUCCACACCGUAAACGAUGAACACUAGGUGUUAGGAGGUUUCCGCCUCUUAGUGCCGAAGCUAACGCAUUAAGUGUUCCGCCUGGGGAGUACGACCGCAAGGUUGAAACUCAAAGGAAUUGACGGGGACCCGCACAAGCGGUGGAGCAUGUGGUUUAAUUCGAAGCAACGCGAAGAACCUUACCAGGUCUUGACAUCCUUUGAAGCUUUUAGAGAUAGAAGUGUUCUCUUCGGAGACAAAGUGACAGGUGGUGCAUGGUCGUCGUCAGCUCGUGUCGUGAGAUGUUGGGUUAAGUCCCGCAACGAGCGCAACCCUUAUUGUUAGUUGCCAGCAUUCAGAUGGGCACUCUAGCGAGACUGCCGGUGACAAACCGGAGGAAGGCGGGGACGACGUCAGAUCAUCAUGCCCCUUAUGACCUGGGCUACACACGUGCUACAAUGGCGUAUACAACGAGUUGCCAACCCGCGAGGGUGAGCUAAUCUCUUAAAGUACGUCUCAGUUCGGAUUGUAGUCUGCAACUCGACUACUUGAAGU
rnacentral:rRNA from 1 species